GUCGAGCGAGAAAGCCCUUCGGGGUGAGUAGAGCGGCGGACGGGUGAGUAACGCGUAGGAAUCUACCCAGUGGUGGGGGACAACAUGGGGAAACCCAUGCUAAUACCGCAUACGCCCUUCGGGGGAAAGCGGGGGACCUUCGGGCCUCGCGCCAUUGGAUGAGCCUGCGUUGGAUUAGCUAGUUGGUGGGGUAAAGGCCUACCAAGGCGACGAUCCAUAGCUGGUCUGAGAGGAUGAUCAGCCACACUGGGACUGAGACACGGCCCAGACUCCUACGGGAGGCAGCAGUGGGGAAUAUUGCACAAUGGGCGCAAGCCUGAUGCAGCCAUGCCGCGUGUGUGAAGAAGGCCUUAGGGUUGUAAAGCACUUUCAAUUGGGAAGAAAAGCUGUUGGCUAAUACCCAGCAGCCCUGACAUUACCUUUAGAAGAAGCACCGGCUAACUCCGUGCCAGCAGCCGCGGUAAUACGGAGGGUGCGAGCGUUAAUCGGAAUUACUGGGCGUAAAGCGCGCGUAGGCGGCGUGUUAAGUCGGAUGUGAAAGCCCCGGGCUCAACCUGGGAACUGCACCCGAUACUGGCAGGCUAGAGUACGAGAGAGGGAGGUAG
rnacentral:rRNA from 1 species